ACCUGCAAUGCUUGGGCACCAUCAUGCAGCUAUAAAAUUGCAGCAGGAAAGGCAAGAGCUUAACGUUGUUUCUAGGAAAUGCAGCUUUUUGUCAGUCUUUACACUAAAUAAUGUCAGCUCAAAAAUUUUCACAAAGAAUUUACCGUAGGUUCCGAAGUGCUCCUACUGAUGCAUAAUAUUUAGCCUUAAUGAUUCAUUAUAUUAAGUAGAAAUAGCACUGGGUCAGGAAUAAAUGCACCAUUUAAUACCUUAGCAGAUUGGGCUAAAGAAGCCAAUGCCCCUAAUGCUUCUUGUUGGAUCGUUUGUUUUCCAUCCUGCAUUUCAAGCAACAAAAAGCUGAGGAAAAUAUUAUCAGUCUCCUGCACUUGUCAAUAGUGAAAUACCUUUGUGAUUUGGUGCUCCAAGAAUUUCCACACAGGUGCACAAGCAGUUAACAAUUUCAUCUAGGUAGAUUUGACAUUCUGUUGAACCAGACGAUUAUGUGAAUGACGAGAUAGUGACAUAACAAAGCAGCCCCAACAAAGCUGAUGAUCAAUCUGUGCAUCCAAAUAAGUAAUUGUUAAUCAUUUCAAUCAAAAAGAAUAACAACGAACCUCGCCUCUUAACUCUGCAUAGUAAACAGACUGAAGUUGUUGGUUUCGUUAGCAAGUUCUUCAUAUGAAAAUUCCACUGAUUUAUCCACUGCGAUUCUUGGGGGCUCUGGAGAAGUACCCUAAUUCAGAGGAUCCCCUUCAAAGCUAUUUUAAUAUCUCAGACUUGAUAAGCUGAAAAAGAUAAAGAUGUCACAUGAGCAGUAAAAUAGGGCUAACCAGUUGAGAGCUGUUUUGCCACACUUAAAAAGAUAUUAGCAGAAACUCAAACGGUUUGAUUUUGCAGUUUCAUGUGUCAACAAAAAAUUUGUCUAUUUACUAAAAUUGUAGAACAACUUAAUGGCAAACCAACCAUUAACCGAUGAAGUUGAAGACGAUUCUUCUACUGGAGCAAAGGGAAGAUGACACAGAGAACAAGGAUAGACAGAGAGAAGAUGAAGAUGGUGACAGGUGUUGGGGAGGGUAAACAUUGAUUUACCAAGAAGGCCCUAAAAGAGGUUGAUAUUACAAAUUCUGAAAGGUAAACUAAAGUGAUAAAAGGCUAAACCAAGGGCAAAAUGUCACCCCAAAAAGUAAAUUC
rnacentral:lncRNA from 1 species